AGUAACGCGUGGGCAACCUGCCUCAUACAGGGGGAUAGCAUCGGGAAACUGGUGGUAAAACCGCAUAAGCGCACGGAAACGCAUGUUUUAGUGUGAAAAGGAGAAAUCUGGUAUGAGAUGGACCCGCGUCUGAUUAGCUAGUUGGAGUGGUAAAAGCACACCAAGGCAACGAUCAGUAGCCGGCCUGAGAGGGUGGACGGCCACAUUGGGACUGAGACACGGCCCAGACUCCUACGGAAGGCAGCAG
rnacentral:rRNA from 1 species